ACAAAGCCGACGCGGGUCAAAGUGUAGUAUCUGCUCCUACCAGUCUAAUAUCUGAUGCGGGUUGUGUUUCGAUCCAAGAUAUUAAACCUAUUUUUGCAAGAUGGCGGAGUGCUUGAAGCCUGCUUCUCCUCCGCCGCGGGUCGGCCCGGCAUCGCACUAUCUUCGGGUUCGGCCCACGGUUU